rnacentral:tRNA from 1 species
CAAUUUAAAGCUUAUUAAGUAAAGCUUUUCAUUUACAUUGAAAAAAUAUUUGUGCAAAUCAAUUUAAAUUGA